rnacentral:lncRNA from 1 species
CUGGGAAAAGCACUCUGGACUCUAGAGUGUUCAUUAACUCAGAGUAAAGAUGGACUUCAAAAUGACUGCCAAGAAUGCGAAAUGACAGCCAAAUCACUACGGAGACAUAUGAAUAUUCAAUGAACGUUCAGAGAGAUGACCAAACGCAGAGGCACAGAGGGGCAGCGAGAAACAGACAACAGGGGAAAGAAUCAUCUGUAGGGACAGAGUCAAAGAUACUGACUGAAUACCUACUCUGGGAGCCAACCUGAUACUGUGCUGAGAUGAACAACACCCCCAAACUUAAAUAUAUUGCAGAAGGAUUGGUGCCUAGUCCAAUUGUCAUCAGAAAGGCUUCAUCCAGCAACUGAUGGAAACAAAUGCAGACCCACAGCCAAAGGUGGAGCUUGGGGAAUCCUGCUGAAGAGAAGGAGGAAGGAUUGUAGGAGACAGAGGGCUCAAAGACACCACAAGAAAUAUCAGAUUUAACUAACCUUGGCUCACAACUAACCUGAACUAACAACCAGGGAGCCUGCAUGGGGCUGACCUAAGCACUCUGCACAUAUAUUACAAUUGUUUACGUUGGUCUUGUGGGAUUCUCAACAAUGGGAACAUGGACUGUCUCCCACACUUUUACUGGCUUUUGUGACCCUACUCCUCAUACUGGGUCACCUUGCCCAGCCUUAAUACAAGGAGAGGUGCUUAGUCUUUCUGCAACUUGAUAUGGCAUGUUUUGUUGCUACUCAAGGGAGACCUGCCCUUUCCUAAACAGAAAUGGAGGAGUGGAUUGGGGGGUGGGAACAGAGGAGGGAUGUGGGAGAAAGACUGAGAGGAGAGGAGGGAGGGGAAACUGCAGUUGA